rnacentral:rRNA from 1 species
UCAGAACGAACGCUGGCGGCGUGCUUAACACAUGCAAGUCGAACGCGAACGGGACUUCGGUCCCUAGUAGAGUGGCGCACGGGUGAGUAACGCGUAGAUAACCUAUCUUCCUGUCUGGAAUAAUAACGCCGAAAGGAGUACUAAUACCGGAUACUCUUGCUUUUCAUAAGUAUAGCAAGCAAAGGUGGCCUCUGUAUAUGCUACUGCAGGGAGAGGGGUCUGCGUACCAUUAGCUAGUAGGUGGGGUAAGGGCCUACCUAGGCUACGAUGGUUAGCGGGUCUGAGAGGAUGAUCCGCCACACUGGCACUGGAACACGGGCCAGACUCCUACGGGAGGCAGCAGUGAGGAAUAUUGCGCAAUGGGGGCAACCCUGACGCAGCGACGCCGCGUGAAGUGAGGAAGGCCUUCGGGUCGUAAAGCUCUGUCAAGAGGAAAGAAGUGCAUAGCGGUUAAUACCCGUUAUGUUUGACGGUACCUCUAAAGGAAGCACCGGCUAACUCCGUGCCAGCCGCCGC